rnacentral:lncRNA from 1 species
CAAGCCUUUCCACAAGAUGAUGUUUUAGUGUAGAGCCCUGACCUCUAUUAUUGGAUCUAAUAUUCUUCCCAAGUAUAAUUCAGGUCCCUUCAAUAUGUCAUCCUCUACUCAUCCUUCACAUACAUAGAACACUAACUAUUUUAGGAUUGUGACGUGAUGAUUCCAUAUCUUGUGACAGAUAAACAACUAAUUGGUCGUAAUUUUCAUAAUUAUGCCUAGCUUAUAAUUAGCCAACUACGUAUUUAUUCGAACUAAUUAUGUUAUGCCCCUGAUAAAGGGUGACAUGAUGAGGACGCGUCAAGCAGGACCGACAGAUUUCUAUGCGAACAAGUUUCUGAAGAUGAGGUGCACAUGAUACAUCUUAGUCGAAUUCCACAUCGAAAUGUGAGAGGGAGAUAAAUAGUUUUUAUAAGUUCACAUACUAUGCAUCUUUUUGAGACUCGAUAUGGUAUAGCCCAAAAGACAAACCCGUGCGGGUGUAGGCCUAAAGUUACUACAAUAAUAUGUGCGAUGGACUUGGAUCAUAGCAUAUUCUCAACAAAGAAGAGGCACGUAUUGAACCUAUUUAAUCAAUUUUCUGUUCCAUUGUGAAAGCUUUGAUGAUGAAGUUUGAGCUCUUCAUCCUCUAUUAGACCCCACAGGAAUACAUAUCAUCACAAUAACUAUGAGAGUGGCCCAUUUUCAAUAAUCACUUCCUUCAAAUUCGAACAGUCAUGUCGUCGACAUAGGAGAAAAUGACCAAGUUUGUCUUCCUUUGCUAAUUGCUCUAUCCUAUAUCAAUUAUUAGCAUUAAAUUCAACAUCAAAGUGCCUAGUAUCAAAGGACCUAAGUUGAUUGAUUGUUACUAUUUUCUACCCAUUUUACCCUUAAUAUUAAAUACGAUUCAUUAUCUAAUGCGUUUUUCAAAGUAUUAAAUUUAUUAUAUUUAAAAGAUAAUAUGAUCAAAUUACACCUAUUUAUUGCUUCUUAGUCCAUGUGUCAAUAAGAAAGUAGAUAAGUAAAAAUGGACGGAGGCAGUAUUAUUUCUUAACCAUUUCAAAUUAAAUUUAC